rnacentral:lncRNA from 1 species
CUGAGAGUAGCUCCUUUCUGAGGCCCUGGAUUCUGACUCAGUUGGCUACAGUUCCUUCAGUUACAUAUUCUUCUGUACUCGGUAGAAAUCAUUUUGGGUUUUGGAGUGAAUCUUUUGAGUUAUUGCCAUCAUUCUAGUAAAUGACAACGUGGGCCCCAAAACUAAUCCAAGAAGAAUUGGGGUGGCAAGCUCUUUGACUCCCACCACCUUGCACAUGGCGGGCGUGCUGGCCCUUCCCUCCCCAGAGCUCUUCUGCGUGGCUGCCUCCGUCCGCUCUCGCUUCUCCACUAGCUGAACCAUUCCUGUUCAUUUCUCCUUGUUGUCUUCAGCGCUUGCGCUGUUAGCUGUUAUCUUCAAGUGUCCUUGGAAAUGUGAGCCCAUGUUGCCUCUUUGGCUCUCUGUCUUUGCAUGCAUUUCACACAUCCAGACCUGUGUGUUAACUUUCAGCAUUCUUCAGUGAUAUUUUACAUUGACUGUUCAUCCACCACAUGGUAAAUGUCACGACUCCAUAUUUAUCUGUCGCAAAGAAAAUGCAUGUGGAAAAUCCAUCCAUCCCUCUCUUCCCUCCCUUCUGAGCUUCUGAGCACUGUUUUUUUUUGUUCUGAAAUUUAUAACCAAUAUAAUGCUGAAGAUUUGCCAUACUGUUAUUUGCCAUACUGUUAUAGAAACAUUGAACGGUAGGACUCCUAGAAAAUUUGCAAAGAGACAUUAUUCACCAUAUCAGACUCUCAGGUUCUAGUGAUGAAAACUUUGCUUAUACUUUGCUGUUACUUAUACCUGCUGCUGUACGGAAAAUAAAAGUUUAUUCAUGCCACAUUUAACUUUGACCAUAAAUAAAAGG